GUUCGGGUAGCUCAGUUGGUUAGAGCAAGGGACUGAAAAUCCCUGUGCCGGAGGUUCAAGUCCUCUCCUGGACA
rnacentral:tRNA from 1 species